rnacentral:misc_RNA from 1 species
AAGUCGUAACAAGGUUUCCGUAGGUGAACCUGCGGAAGGAUCAUUAACUUGAUAUAUAUAUAUAUAUAAAAAUAUAUAUAAACACACUUUUUACAAUUUUUCCUGCUUCUUUUUCAGCAAGCAAAAAAGGAUGAUUGAGGGGGGCCAUUUUUAUAUUAUUUAUUUUAUAAAAUAAUGUUAUGUGCAAAACAACAAUGUUGUAAAUUUAAAAUAACUUUCAACAACGGAUCUCUAGGCUCUU